CCUACGGGAGGCUGCAGUGAGGAAUAUUGGUCAAUGGGCGGAAGCCUGAACCAGCCAAGUAGCGUGCAGGAUGACGGCCCUACGGGUUGUAAACUGCUUUUAUACGGGAAUAACGCGCCUUACGUGUAGGGCUUUGCAUGUACCGUAUGAAUAAGGACCGGCUAAUUCCGUGCCAGCAGCCGCGGUAAUACGGAAGGUCCGGGCGUUAUCCGGAUUUAUUGGGUGUAAAGGGAGCGUAGGCCGCAUGUCAAGCGUGCUGUGAAAUGUCCGGGCUCAACCCGGGCCUUGCAGCGCGAACUGGUGUGCUUGAGUCCGCGGAAAGCAGGCGGAAUUCGUCGUGUAGCGGUGAAAUGCUUAGAUAUGACGAAGAACCCCGAUUGCGAAGGCAGCUAGCUGCAGCGGAACUGACGCUGAUGCUCGAAAGCGCGGGUAUCGAACAGGAUUAGAUACCCGGGUAGUC
rnacentral:rRNA from 1 species